rnacentral:rRNA from 1 species
AGUGAACGCUGGCGGCAGGCCUAACACAUGCAAGUCGAGCGGCAGCGCGGGGCAACCUGGCGGCGAGCGGCGGACGGGUGAGGAAUACGUCGGAAUCUGCCUUUUUGUGGGGGAUAACGUAGGGAAACUUACGCUAAUACCGCAUACGACCUACGGGUGAAAGUGGGGGACCGCAAGGCCUCACGCAGAAAGAUGAGCCGACGUCCGAUUAGCUAGUUGGUGAGGUAAUGGCUCACCAAGGCGACGAUCGGUAGCUGGUCUGAGAGGAUGAUCAGCCACACUGGGACUGAGACACGGCCCAGACUCCUACGGGAGGCUGCAGUGGGGAAUAUUGGACAAUGGGCGCAAGCCUGAUCCAGCCAUGCCGCGUGUGUGAAGAAGGCCUUCGGGUUGUAAAGCACUUUUGUCCGGAAAGAAAUCCUGAAGAUUAAUACUCUUUGGGGAUGACGGUACCGGAAGAAUAAGCACCGGCUAACUUCGUGCCAGCCGCCGCGGUAA